AAUUAUGCUCCGCGAAGGGAUGGCCAGUAGUUCCGUGCUGUCUGCCGUGCGGGUCGGAUACGACGAACGCGAUAGUCCUGUCUCUCCAAGCCACCCUCUUACUCAGCGAAACGGACGCCGUUCAGCAACGCUGAGACGCGCGCGCGACCUCUCUCCGUCAGAAAAUUCGUAGGGAUAAUCCGAAAGCGGCGAGGAACGUUGCCCGCGUCAUUCUCGAUAUCGUGUCUCGGCGUUUCCCGAGCUUCGUUUCAACACUUUCAACCCCCGAGCAACGACCGCGCUCGUGGACGCGCGAGUUAUACAUGUCGUGAUGUCGCGAGGUGAGCAAAGCGGGCCGUCGAGAGAACUCGCGGCCGAGGGUGCUCCGAUCUCGUCCUGACGAUAUCGGCCCGUGUGCGUCAUCCUCUUCGUGGACAUCGGUGGUGCAUUUGGUAGAAUAAUGUUGGUGUGAGUGAGAGAGAGAGAAAGAGAAAAAGAGAGAGAGAGAGACAGAGCCCGACGGUGCGGUGGAUCGGGUUCGCGAAUGGAUCGGAGGUACGUCUUUAGAGAUUGUGCUCGCUCUCUAUCUGCUCGUGGCUUUAAGGGGAGAAACGAGCGACGCGCGAGACCGUACUCUGCAUCCCUCUCGAGCGCCAGUGUGUGCGACGUGUGACACGUGUGACAGUUACCCGUGGGAUACCACCGUGGAUUAUACGUUUCCUCGGCUGCGAGAGGGUGGUCGCGGGCGUUCGUGUGCGCGGGAUUAUACAUACACACGCCAGUGGUUCUCCUCGGUGCAUUCUACGGCGAAUUCACCCCUAAAGGAUAUGUCGGUAUAGUGCUCGCGCGGAACGGAGCUACGAUGGCCGGAUAUUCCAGCGCGCUCAAUACGGAUUUCGCUUCGAAAUCGAUGCCGAGGAUGCGACGAUCUGCGAUCGAUGCUAUUGAGGAUACCUCCGGAUGCGCGUUAACAAUGUCGCCAGUGAGCUUCCCGCCCAUUGGUGCGAGGCCAUCCUGCAAAACGGACAGGUAAGAGCUAUGCGGAAGCGCGAUAUCACGCAUACGUGGCUCCAUAAUUGCCCCGUCGCGCGUCUAAACGAAAAUAAACAGGCGCGCACAAGUUAUUCGGUUGAUACUCUGUGUGAAAAAUAUAUCUGUGCACCUCGCAAAUGCCUCGGCAAAAAUUCGAGUUCCGUCGAUGCGUUACGCGCAUCCCGACGAGCUCGCGCGGCUCGUCUGUACUGUAAUAAUUCGCCGCGAAGAAGCGACACGCGCGUUUGUAUCCCAAAAUGGCUUAUGUGUACGAUUUCGGUCGACCAAAUGUAGUCUUCCGAACAAUAACUAGAUGCGGCACGGUGGAACACUGCGAGUACGCUUUAACCAGAUUACACACGCUCCGGAUUGUGAGAACCGUACCGUUUUAUGUACACGCACGCGCUAUAAUUGGAGGAAUACUCGUGAGCUCCAAGUAAGCCGCUUUACUUCUUAUCUGCAGUGAUUCUCGGGCAAAUUAUUGGAUUCUGCACAAGGACUUUUGCAUUACUCGUAAUAAAUAUCCCGAUUAGCUAAUUUAUGCAUCGCCGUGGCAUGUUUUAUUCAUCGGACACGCGAUGACAAGUUCCGCCAGACGAGAUAAUUCUCCAGCGUUGAAUUAUCUCCGUCCGAUUGCACGCACGUUCUUCGAAAUAAAGAACGUUGUAUCAGUAAUGAAUCAAUAAUGAAUAAGAAAUUAGUCAGGAGCUAUCCUGCGGCUUACAUUAUUAAACGGAUUCCGUUGGAAUCAUUGACCGAUUUAUAACGCAUUGGGAGAGAGAAUUGGUAAAGUAUCGGCGCAAUAUCAUCGCAAUAUCGAAUUCGGCAAAUAUAGGGGAACGAUUGUAGCAUUAGCGGCAUUGUUAAACACCGGCUUUGUGUUACGCGCGCACGUCAAUGAACGUGAGCGAGCUGUCCCGUAUAGCGAUACUCUUAUGCGUACAGACAUAUAUUUGGUCGUCCCUGUUGCCUAUCUUCAUAUAUUCCGUUCUUUACGAGCAGUCGAUCAUAAAUUUUUCAAAGUACGUCGUGAAUGCCUCCGGUGAAGGGCUCUGCUCCACCAGCCUGGAGAGCGUGUAACGAUCGCGGGUUGUUCGCGCGCGCAAAGUAACUGCGUAAAUUUCACUAUCAUUCCGCCGCGCUCGUUAAAUUAAAGGAUGCGAUAUGCGAUGAGUCGAUAAUAAACGGAAUAAACAGCCGUUCGCUCUUUCACGAGUGCAUUAAUAUUGCCGUGCAACGUAACGGGACGAGCCGUAAGAAAGUAAAAAGACGUGAUAUCUUAUUUAUCCGCGACUGGAGUCAAUGGAGAGAAGACAUCGCGGCGUAUCAAUCGAUUCCCACUCCGCUAGCUAGCGUUUCACGAGCAGAUAGAGUUGAAAUAGAUUUCAGCAGAAUAUCUGGAAAAUAGAGGUACAUGUGUGUGUGUGUGUGUGCCCGCGCGAGCGCAAACCCCUCUCGUUUGACGUUAAAUUUUUCUCAGAAUUCUUGAGCGAAUUUUCUUUCCACCAAAGAUAAAACGCGAACCGACUCGGAAGCGGCAAGGAGAGCACGGAGGCGCGUGCUCGUGUACUACAGAGCAGCUUUUUUAAGGGGGAGAUGAAUAAAUGAGCAGGACGACCUCGCAAAGUAACCCGGCAAGGUCCUGAAUCAGUCACCUGUACAGGCGAUUUCUGUCGCCGUUUCUUGCCGCGUUGCCGCCGCUGCGCCAUCAAAUAUUUUGCAGCGACCCUCGCGCAAGUUAGCGGACUAGGCGGACAUUUCUCGAAACUGCCGGAAACGCGUAUAAUCGUGCCGUUUUACUGGUCCCGCGCGCAACGAACCAUUAAAACGCAGUCGGCAAACAGGGUUUCCGGUGUGUGCCGCGCUCCGCAGUUUUUCCCCGUCUCGCGGAAAACAUAACGGAAGUGUGAACGAUCCGCGAUCCGCAACUUAACUCGUAACGUGUUUCCUUCUUUUUCUUUAGGUUUUUGUUUUACUUUUCCUCCCCUGUAGUCGCGAACGUUCGUUCUCCAUUCUCGCGAAGUGAUCACUGCGGACGUAUUCGCAAAGUCGAUUUCGCGGAAAGCCAAUAUGGACACGUUCGUCCAACAGUUAAACCAGUUCUUACAGGUAACGUUGGUUCAUUCAACAGGCUGAGAAGAGCCCUGGGCUAGUCCCGCGCCAGCGGCUUUGGUUCAUUGAUUUUUACUGGCUUUUCUUCGGGAUGAGGGACGCGAGGUACGGCCGUGUGCCCAUUCUGUUCCUCAUGCAAGGCAAUCAUAUAUUCUAUUCGUUCCCGGCAAAAGUAAUAAAAAUGGCUCCGGAAAAGAAAAUUAAGUUGACUGAUUAAAUCUUUAGGUGAUCGUUGUAUUUGAUGCUUACAAAAUAUUUGAAAGCCAAGAGGUGGUAUCCAUAGAUGUACAUGUUUAUGGAUCUUCUUGUGUUAUAUUAUAAAUUGUGACGUUAAUUACAUGUGAUAUUUUAUUUUAAAAUAUGAUGUAUUAAUUCCAGUUGAAGUUUUCUCUUAAAGCAUUACUUUACUUUUAUAAUUUAUUUUUACAAUUUGCAUUCAAUCAAUCAUUUAUCGCUGCACGGUUAACCGCUGAAUGUCAAACCGUCAGUAUGAAAUUCAUCACCCAAGCGAAUUUGCACACACGAUUGACACGGCUGGCAAUCAAUCAAUAUUGGGAAAAAAAGAUAAUAAUACUUAAAAUAUUUUAAUCUCGUUCUUUUAGGAGCGAUCGCGCGAGUGGGAGAUUCCAAAAUCCCACUUUUCAUUUCUUACGAGAAUCGAUAAUCGAAUUAAGGAAUUAAUCGAAAAUAAAUAUUAAUUAAUAUUCAUCGCACAAUCAUUAGAAAAUUAAUUAAAAUUUAGCGAAUUAAUUCGAACGAAUCAGAACGACACGAGAAACUGUAUCACGACCUAAUUUAGUGGAUGCUCAUUCGACACAAUUUAUAAAUGAAGCACAAUUUAUAAAGAUAGGCUGCAAGCAUGUAAGGUAUGAGGCUGCUUCGCGCAUAUAUAGAACAAAUCCGACGAAAAGUAAUUUUAGACGAUAUUAAAAAUCGAUAGCGUCCAUAAUUAAGGAAGAAGGCAGCAGAUUUAUUUUAGACUUAAUUCCAUCUUCAGUAGCGAGAUGUAUUACUUCUGACGCGUUUCAUGGAUAAUUGAGAAACCUGUGGAAUUCGAUGAAAAGGACUGAAAGCGCGAGCGCAACAAUGAUCCGUGAUCCAUGAGGCAGGUCCUUCAAACGUAAAACCACGCGUGUAAUCUUGCACAUUACGGAUCUCCACUCUCGCGGAUUCUCUGAUCCGCUGACCAUUGGAUUUUCCUGAAAAUCAAGCUGCGUUCUCGCACCGGCGCAAGACGCUAACGCGGUAGGACGCGAACAAAGUGCAGCCAAGUGACGACGACGGCGAAGAAGAUAGCGCAGCCGUUUUAAGGGGAUAAAUAAAUAAGCGCGCCGACCACCCACGGCCCGGCCGAGAAUAGCCCCCGGCCAGCCCCGUUUCAGCAGCGGUUUCUGCCCAUUGAUUUUUGUCCGUUUUCCCCGCGGGCGAAACGACACGCCAUUACACCACUAUGGCAAUUACGCGACUACGUUAAGCAUUUACUACGUCGGCUUUAUUAUCACAGCCAACGCGCCACCACCCCCGCGACAGCUUGUGCUUGGCGCACGUACGUAUGCUGAAGUAACGUAACGAGCGCGGUGCGAGAGCAGCUCAUAAUAAAUUCAUACUUCCAAUAUUGUCAUACUACGUUAAAUUUUAUUUCGAGACCUCGAUCAUUAAUUUACGCCAGUACAAACACCGGGUGUUAGCCUUUCCGAGAGAUGGUGGGAUAUAUUUCAACGCUCUCCGCAAACCGCAGCGCGUUUCAUCAACUUCUUCGGCCUGUUGAUCUACGUUAUUUGUAUCAGAUCAGCUCCCGAGUUUACGAGCCCGAGUUUACCGGCGUUCCAAAGCGUGAAUUUUGGAAGCUUGUGGUGCAACGUGAAACGUCGUAGAAUGCAACGUAUGUACGUGAAAGCAGAGAUGGAAAGCAGUUUUAAAGAAACAUCCAAGUUAAAUUGUUAUUUGCCAGACUAUGCUAAAAAUCACCGCAGGGCUUUCAUGUAUAUUAAAUAAAUUUGAAUAAUACAAUGUGAGUGAUGUACAACGCCAGAUUGCCCUCGGUCCCGAUAAAACUGGAAUAAAUCUUGCGGAUAACAGAUAACAGCAUUAAAAUCUUUAAAAGCAGAUGUUUGCUUCGCACAGCCACGUUAAAUGCGUUGACAUUUUUGAAUGUAACGUGUGUGCGCGUGUGUGUGUGUGUGUGUGUGUGUGUGCGUGUGCGUGUGCGUGCGUGUGUGUGCGUGUGUUGCGUGUGUGUGCGAGAGAGAGAGAGAGAGAGAGAAAUCCUUUAUUCUAUCUUUCGUGUUUCAUACAUACGAAUAGAAUGUAAUAUGAAUUUUUUUGAAAAAUGUAAAGGUUUCAAAGAUCUCCUAUCUUUCAUUCCGCAGUUUUCAACGGUGUGACUCUAUAAAGUAGUAAAUUAACGGUAAACUGAAAGCUGUUAUGCAAAACGACGUUUAAAAAAGAUAUUAGACAUUUCUUGAAAACCGGAUUUUUGUAUCGAAUUGCUCCACGGGAUGCCUCCACUGUCACGGAACCGGUUUUUCCGAAUAUCACUUUCAUGUUAUAUAACGUACAUCCAUAUGUACAGCGAACGGCCUUGCGCAAGAACGGAAUUAACUCAUAAAAUUAAAAAGAGAAAUAAAUUGCGCAUACUGUCGGGCAACGUGAAACUUCGCAUUUGAGAGUUAAUGUAGUUGAGACUGCUACUUACAGGUGAUUCUUGCAUAAUACGGCAAUCUAUGUAAUCCGUUACAAAUACUCGGCAAAAGUUGCAAUCACUUGGCGGAGCGCGAAUAAUAUGUAAAUUUAUAUAACGUGUAUCUAUAGCGAAAUAACACACCUUCGCCACCUGCGGUGCGGUGGCACGUAGAGGUGGCAAGCGUAGAACCGUAGAAUUUUCAAUGCUAAUUUCGAACAUAGCUGGCUGUUCCGCGGUCGUUGCCUCGUCGACAAAACCGUACUCCGGGACAUUGUGCAAAUGCAGGUGACCCCCGUCCGGGUUCGAUUAAGAAGCAAAACAACGUCCCGAACAUUGGCUUUGUAUUUCUGAUUAACGUCCCGGUCCCCACUUCCCUCGUGCACCAAGCCCCUAUAUUAAUACACGCGGCGAGCCUGGCGAACGCGAAAACCGAACGAAAAAGCUCAGCCCGUCAUUCGCGUACGCUGGGAAAAUUUUUGUUUUACUGAUAUUAGCAAUUUUAACAUGGCUGGCCGACUUUAGCGGGAGGAAGAGAGAGGCGUAAGCCGCAAAGCAGAUUACCCUCGGGCCAGAAUUCUUUUACGUUCCUUUCCUUUUUUCCUUGUUCUCUUUUUAAUUUGCACGCCACUGUAACGUCGUAGUUCGCGUAGAUGCACCGUGUUCCUCGCGGCGGAAAAUCUUUUAAGGAAAACCUAGAUGCCGAGAGAGACGAGGGCCUGGAAUCAGCGGAGGAAAAUCGUGGAAUUUCAUGGCGCGGCCCGUUCUUAACGCGCGGAUGACAAUACGUUUUGAAAAAAACCCAGAGGAUUCGAGAGAGCUUGUUUGACAUUUUUCCGCAAACAAACGACCGAAGGGGAUUAGGUUUCAACUUGCACCGAUGCAGUUUUGUGUGCGUCGGCGUACGUGAGGAUAUAAAUGUUAAAACACAGGAAACUAGGGGAUAUAGAGAUAUGAAGAGAAAGAGAGAUACAGAGAGACAGAGAGAGGGAAAGGAACAGAACAACUGUCUCCUCACGCGCGGUGUAUUACGUCAAUCGGAUUAUUAUCGCGAUAAAAACAAAACUCCUUUUGCAGGCAGUUUCUGUCUGAUGCUCGUUUGUCCGUAAAAAGCGCCGUGAUAUAAAAAUAUUUCCAGCAACACCGUACUGAAUUAAAUCGACUGUAAGUAAUUACACUGCCGGAGAUAGCUAGAACGCAAUUCUCUGCGAGAGGCACGUAUUAUUUCACUGAUAAGACCAUUUUAUUUUUCUUCUUGUCGCUUUUAUUUAUAUACUCGUUUGUCGUUUCAACGAAUCACUUUUUAUCCGUAAUUACGUAGUCCCCGCUGCCGAUAUCUUCCUGCCUGUGCAGCUUAACUGAUACAAAAAGAAAAAAAGAACAAGCCUCUGAGUGAUGCGUCCUCGUAGAAAGAAGAAGCGCCAGGAUACCUUAAGCGUUUUGAAUAGUGCAAGAUUUUCGAAAGUUCUCUUUUCUUUUCCUCCUUUCGUGGGAACGUUAUUCAAACGAGCACCGUUGAUAUGUGAACUGCAUGUCGCCCCGAAAGAAUGUUCCUCUCACGGAGGAGACUAGACUUUUGUCUAGUGGAGAACGAGAGUCUCCUUCUGCGCGCCAAGGAGGUCACAUUAUUAUCGUUAUCAACGACUGCGGUGACGCAGGCGUCUAUCAAAUUCGCGCAUCCAUCGGUUUCUUCGAUGUUCCGGCGUUUCGGCAAAAAACUCAAGUCCAAAAAUGGAAGAGAAGAAAAGAAAGAAGAAAGAAAGAGAGAGUUAAACCAGUUAUACCUCCAGCCUUGAUAUUCAAAACGGGAUACGUGAUUCAUUAGAGAGAGUACUCUAACCCCCCCAAGCCGACGUGGGAUGGUUUACCAUCCCGAAAGGGAGCUAGGCAAGCGCACAGCCGGAGCAAAAGGAGAAAGAGAUCAGGAAUAGAAUUCACCGCAAACGCGAAAGAGCAUUCGCCGGCGUUCGUGCGAACGCGCUAGCGCCUAGAGCUCUCUCUGCGUGCGAUGCCGCUCUUCAGGAAUAGGUGGAAUGGUGGCGGCGCUGUAGCUCGAGCGUGAGGGGUGGCAGGCAGCAGGGGUGGCGGAAAGGGUAGUAGGAGACCGGGUGAAAGGUGGGGUUGCCGCUCGAUACCACUGCGGCACGGCCAAAGUCGAAGCUAUACCACGAAUCCCUCUGCCUCGCUAUCCCCGUCUCUCUUUCUCUCUCUCCUCCUCGCUCCGUCGCCGUUCUCCGGCAGGUCGUUGAUACCCUCUCGCUCGCACUUUCAUCCCCGCUGCCUUCCGCCUGUCCCUCCAUCCCUGCCGCCUCCCCAGUACGUGCACUAUAUAGCAAACGGCCUACAGCCUGCGCCCGGUAUCUACCCCCGAAAUCUACCCUCUAACUCUGCCGCGUCUCCCCUCUCGUGCUCGCGCUCAUCCGACCUAUCCCUCAGGAUCCCUCGAGGGGAUCUACCGAUCUGCGCGCUCUUUAAACAACGAGACACCUUUCCCUCGACUACGUCUCAAUUCUCGCCCGGAAGAAGCCCGAUCUGCCUCGCUUUUCCAGGCCAGUUUUGCGCUCGCCUGUGAUCAGCCGGCUCUCGACUUACCUGGUUCCUGCUCUCUGUCUCUUUCUGUCUCUCUUGUUCUUCCCCUCUUUGCCUUUCCGUCCAAGGCAUUCUUUCUUUUCUCGCGAUUUCCGCAUCCUGACCUCCCCCUUCCCCCUCGGCAAGAUCGAUCUCCGUUAGUCCAGCAAGAGAACGAUUCCAUUAAGAAAAAUCGCGUCACUUGCCGUACUUGCACAGGAUAAAUUCAUAGGCGAGCGGAGCGCGGAGUAGUAGUUCGCAAAAUUGCUGUUCUCCAUACGGAUCACCUUUGGAAAAUUAGAUAGAUCACUUUCGUCAGCUAAUAUUCUCUCCUGCAACCGCACCUAGAGAUUCAACUCUUUUUUUUGGUGAUAAGGCAAUUUCGCUAAGAGCUACGAUCAUAGGCAUCAAUUAGUUUAAUUAAAUAUACGCGCUACUUUCUACGCUAUAAUAGCUUGUAUUGUAGAUAAAUCCUAAUUGAUUCCCCAGGGUCACUAGUUAAUUGCUAUUAAUUGUUAAAUAAAAUACUCUAUAUUAUAUCAUCGAAUUAAAUAACUGAUUCUGCGAUCUGGAUCGACAAUGUAUUAACGCGUUAUGCGCAUGUAUUAUACGGAAAUAAAUUUAUCAGAAAUAUAAAAGGAACGAGUUCUUCGCGUAUUGUUAUUAAAUUUUCCGUUCCUUAGAAAUCUGGAAUGAAAGUACAAUCUUUGAGCAUUCAGAGUUUCUACAUUUUUAUAAACGUGAUGUAAUAAUGCUUUCAAGCAAAGAAUUAAAACUGAAUUAUUUAACCCGCGGGAUUCAAGCAAUUCUUUUGCUCGCUCCGUUAACAAUCGAUUUAAUUAAUUAUCCUGUGAAACGUUUAUUAAGAAAUGAGAAAUAAGCAAAACUCAUCGAGAGAGAGAAACCGAUUUCCGUAACGAUCUGUAUACUUAAUCAUUUCGAUCGGUCUUGUUUCGGGAUAUACGCUCUCAGAUCGAAUCUCCCGAUGCAAAUUAAGUAUUGCCUCCCCAUGGUGUUACCGUAUUAAAUUGAAUAUGUUAAGCACGACGGCAGCUGUGUAUCAAAGUCCCAUGGCGAAGUACGUCACACCGCAAUAUUUGGCCCCCAGGAUAGCGAGCGUUGUUUUCUUACAUGAAGCGGGAAACACUAUGAUCAUAUAUACUGCACCUUGUUUCCAUUACACGACAAAAGAGAUAAAACAUAAGAAAUACCUGCCCCGAACAAUCUCGCGAUAUUCAGACGAGUACAAAUAAUAUAUAUACGUUUAUUUCUAUGAUUUAUCUUUUGAUGUACAUUUACAUGAUUUUCAGAUAAUCAGAUUUAAAUAAAAUAACUGAAAUAUGAUUCGGUAUGACAUUCUUGUCAAUUCAGGAGAGCAAUUUGUUUCGAUGCCAAGUGCAUGAAGCAUUCAAACAACGAAUGAGAAACUGCUCGUCGCGGCUUAUGAAGAAACGCGUUCGCAACGGAUUUGGAGAAAUAAAUUCCUCGAUGUUCUUUCAAAUUACACAGGAUAUAAAUUUGUUCAUUACAUUGCAUUGUCGCGUUAAAUUAACCAUGUUAAACGUGUCCCCAGCUGCAAGGUACAAAUCCUUUCUUAACAGAGCAUAAUAACCGCGAUAUUUAACCCUCGAGGUACCGAGUCUUGCAUUCUUACACGGAGCACCGAGGGCAAUGCUUGCAAAGCUCUAGAUUAUAAUCUGAGAUUUGCAUGGAGAACUUCAUGAUCGUGCGAAAAAAGUAUGUAAAUUAAUACACUUUGAGAGAAAGAGAGAAGGAGAUCGGUGAUUACGUUCGGAGGAGGACAAAGUACAAAAAUCUGAUAUAACCCGACGCAAUUAAGCGGCGACUGAACUUUUUUCCUUAUCUAUUAACGUCACGCGUAAUGUCUUUAUACACACAGCGUGUCGCCACCUCGAUUUAUGGCGGAUAAUUUCACUUUGUAUUGCUGAGUCGACGAUAAACGAUAUCCAUCAAUAAUGUAUACGUUUGUGGAAAUCCGAUUAUUGAAAGUGUGUGUAACGGAGAAACGCGGAAAAAUAUUUAAGAAAGAUAAAGUAGCGGAAACGCGAAUGUGACGUUUGUGGCGCCUUCGCGUUCUUAUACGCAAAUAUCGUUUUGCAAACAUUGCAAAAUUACUACUCCGAAAUGUAACGUUGAAAUUAUUCAUAAUUUCCAUGUAUCUAGACCACAAAAUUUACGCUGAAUUAUAUAAAUGCAGGCGUUAUGGCCAGUGGCAUAACUAGGUGAGCGUGCACACGGUGCAAUCAGCGCUUAAGUGCACUCCCCCUUUUCCCCUAGACUUAAACACAUCUCCUUCUCAAAGUAUGAGCAACGCAAGUUCAUUAGAAGUAAAAAAGAAAGAAUCAGGUCGCCAGUGAAUUAAUAAAUUGUACAUAAAUUGUGAUAAAUAUCACGAAUAUCCCGGUAAACAACUGUGCAAGCAUCAACUUAUAAAUUACGAGAUGUUAUAAAAUUUAUGGAUAGAUUGUUUAUUAUAUUAUUUUUAUUAUAUUAUUAUAUUUCAUUAUAUCAUUUUUAUUAUGUAAUUGUAUUAUUUUGACGCAAUUCCUAACGUCAUUCCUGAGAAGCUGACACGUUCCUAACGCUUGUGAGAUUGCUGUCCUGCCUUAAUUACGGUGCAUAGUUCAUCGAUUAAUCGCUAACUCGAAUUUCUUUCUUACCGUCGUUACAUCGCAUCGUAUCGCGUAGCAAUAUUUAUGCCGUCAAGAACUCGCGGGCGUGAUACAAGAAUCCGAGACCGGCUACUAUUUCUUCCAUAAAUUGCGUAAAUGUCGGAGAGAUUUUAAAUAACGCGAAAACAUGACGCACAUUAUCAGGUGGAACAAAAUAUAUGGCAGACGAGGUAUCCCGAGAUAAAUAAAGGAGCUAAUAAAAUAGACAAGAUUGAUAGACAGAGAAAUAAGUAGCAUUUAGCAGACAGUUGGAACAUGAUUUUGACAUUGCAAAAAUCGUACGUUUGAGAUAUUAUAAAAAAAUGUUUAAUCUUGAAAUUAAUUUCUAAAAUAGUUCUUAAAACAUGACUAUAAUAUAUAUUUUUCUUUUAAUUAUUUACUCGGUCUAUUGCUCAGUACUUUCGUUCGCGACUUUGUAAUUUUUUGGUGCGCUGUAUAAAUAAUAUAUAAAAUAUAUUUAAAACGGUCGAAAUAUGGAUGCCGUAGUAACAAAAUAACAUUUAGUUUAUUAUGCAUCGAGUUUUAUUCUAUCAAAACCAGCCAGCGAUGCUAAUGGUGCGGCACGAUCGUAUUAAUUGAGGUUUGAUGUAACGAAUUAAAAAUUAGCUAAUUUAAAAUGCUCAAAGAAGCGCGCUAUCUAUGAUCAGCUACGAUCGAUCGUUGCAUACAUCACCGCGUGCAUGACGAUAGUGAAUUUAGGGUAGGAACCCUAAAUAAUUUACAUUCGCUCUGCUAGUAUUUCAUUUACACGAACACACAAGAUACACGCAUGGAAAACAAAAUGGAUAAUAAACAGGUGUAUAGGUUGCACAAUGUAUUACAUCCAAAUCUAUAGACAACUAGCACUAUGCUGUUCCAGCGGCAACCAUCGUCGAUUCAUCAGAGAAGUGUGCAAUUAAUAUCUCGCAGUUCUCGUAUUGCUCACUAAUCCGCGGAAAUGAGCUGUCUAUACGGUUAGUAACACAAAGCGUACGAACAAAAGCGCUGCGCACGAGAACAAGAAAGAGGAGUGGUGUCCAGCAUCCAAAAACUACACACGGUGAGAAGCGUAAAUGGGUGUAGUAAAGUAAUGAAACACGUCAUCUCGCAUCUGGUUCCAAUUUGUUUUUUUCAUUUUUCUGCAAGCAAAGUUUUUUGCAUAUUUAAAUCGUUACCUUUUGUUACCUGCAUUUUAAAAUUUCAAUUUUAUAAUUUGCGUAUAAAAUUCAAGGAUUUUGUUUGAAAUUUCCGAUAUAUGAAUUUUAUAUUUGUGUAUCCUUUUUUCCAUCGACUUUGAAGUUAUAUCCUAUGACUAUAUGAGUAUGCUAAGCGCUUGAUAUUAAAAAGGAUCAUAUUAAUAUUAAAAAGAAUAGGAUAGUGCGAUCGCGUUUACACAUGCACAGCAUUAGAGCUAACACCAGAAAAAAUGCUGCACUUUCAUGUCAACUACGUUCCUUUUUGUGAAGCAAAUUGACGGACGUUAAUUAGAUAUUAUUUAGUUGUUCCAAUUAGAGUUUGUAUAUAUUAUUACAUUAUUAAUUAAAUUCAUUCAUAGAUAUUCGAUAUACAAUUUGCUAUAAAAAUGUGAUCCAUUUUACUAUGUAUUUAGAUAACUUUUAUCUUGAAGGUUAUUUCUUUUUUGCAUUCAGCACACCUAGUUUUGCACCUAAAAUAAGUUAUCGUGAACGCGAAUACAUUAACACAUAUUAAUAAUAAUUAGAACGUGUAUUAAUACCCAUUGACAGACAGAUAUCCAUAAUAUCCAUUUAAAUAAUUUCUUACAUGUUUGAAUUGGUUAAAUGCCAGAUCUAUUGAAUAAUUCUUGUUACAUAAUUAUUCUAUGUUUUUAUACGACGUGCCAAUUUAAUAACUGAAUCUCGAGCAUAUUUAAAAAUCUUGUGUUUUAUUCAUUUAAAGGAAUUUAGGUAGCCAUGGAAAAACUAAUUUGUAUGAACAAAAACCUUGUAAAAGUUAUUCGGAAACUCACUUCUCUGUAUCUCACAAUCUUUAUUUCCCUUCAAAGCUAAUAAUCCGAGAUGAUAGCAAUAUUAAGGAUCCUUAAUUGAGAAAUAGAUAACAUUCAAUUAUAUGAUAGCGAUAAUUCAUUAAAAGCCCGGAAAUUUACGGAACAAUCAAUCAAUCGAUAUCAUGGUCUUUGUAGGAUCCUUUUUCACCUCGCACUGUAAAUAUUUCUCGUUGAUUGCCAUUGUUCGAGUUUGUUAGACUUCAACCGGAGGGAUGAAAGACGCGAGAAAGGUGGAACAUAGGGAAGAAUACAGAACGAUAAGUUUUUUGAUGAAACUUCCGUCGGGGAAGGUGCCUGAGGGAGGGAAAGACUAGAGAAUAUCUUCGUCGAUCUUCGAGAAGAGAAUGGGAAAGUUCCGCCGAUACUGUCGUUAUAUUUUCUUCUAACUUUCGAGUUUCCAUGGUUCUUCCUUUCCGUGUCAUUAUGGAGCAGCGGAAUAUUGUUUCGUUAAGACGUCGAUGCGGAAUAUAAAUCGCGGUCGACAGUCUCUGCAUUCUCUCGUGUUCAAGUGCUAAGGUCAUCCCUCUAACAUUUCUCAUCCUCUCUCCCUGUCUCUCUCUCUCUCUCUCUCUCUCUCUCUCUGGAGCACAAAAACGAUGAUCGCUAUGUAGUUCUCGAAGCGAGAUUUCUGCCAAUACUCCAACGGAUGCGUCGAAUAAGCGGGAUGUAUCGCGUUCGUAGGCGAAUGCGAAGGCGAGAGGAAGCGGUACGCGAGGAGAUGUAGCCACGACUAGGUGUAAUGUCGGAGUUACAGUGUAAACCCGAGGUUGAGCAGGAUAUUACGUCUUUUUCCUCCGGAAAGUAUAUUUCCGCGGAGAAACUCGCUGCACGUACACACGAGAGGAAUGCAAAGGUAGCAACGAAGAUUCUUGCAAUUUGCAUAAUUUAUUGAGUACCAGGGGUGGAAUCACUCUUAUAUCACCCGCGAAAAAUGAGGAAGCUGAGGAACGACAGGAUGAAAAAUCGUUGGUACACAGAAUUACCUUUUCCCACACUUCGGGGGUCCGUGGGAUCUCAUAUACUUGCGGCUCUUUCUUGAGACUCAUCCUACGUGGCAAAUAGCACGUUACUUAAGGACAUUAGCGAUGCAUGAGACUGGCUUAAGAGAGAGAGAGAGGAACAUUUUUUUUUUUAAAUAAAUCCCAUGCAAUAUAGCUGCCGUCGCUGGUAACGCGAAACGACACAGUCAAUCGAUAACGCGUUUUCAUUUUUAACGAGACGGAAAUUCCCAUUCGGGAUCGCGGAGUACGCGUAUGUACUGUUCGUUACCAUUCGCGAAACGUGUUAAAAUGUGACAGAACAGAUUUGCGUAGCCGUUUGUCGAGGUAAGUGUAACCCCGAUCCUGCACUCAUCGUGGAACCUUCAUGUGGCUGCCAGGUGGAGAGCAUCCCGGAAAAAUCAUACUGUUCUCACUCACCCUCACAUUUUUUCAUAUUCGCUAUCUCUCGAAGCGAGCCGACGAAUUCACCGCGUAUAUCAUACGACCUAAUUUGCUGUCGCGCGCGCGGCACAGGCGGACCGACCUCAAUCGAAAAUCGAUCAAAUUCAGUUCUGCUGUCCCAAGUUUUUCCAGAGCCGCGAGAACGCGUCUUACUGCCGUUGCAGGCGCGAGUGAUGCAGGAGCGAGAUGUGCACGCGAAAAAAGAAAAAACGAGGGAACUUAUCGGCCACUUUGGCUUCUAUUAGCUGAUGUGCGUGCGAGUGAAACCACGUCUGAACGAGAAGAGCUGCGAUUGGUCUCACGGAAAGCGAAGAUUUACGGGAAGUGAUGUUAACGAUAUUUCCGCGGAAAAUCAUCGCCAAGAGAUUCGUCCGGAGGGAGAGAUUGGCGGCGUUGAGAGAUUAACGAGUAUGAAACGCGCGGCGACUCGCUGAUGCACAAAUUUUUAUUCAGUGCGUGUAUGAUACACGAAUCCGGGUUAAAAGCUGUGUACACCAGGCUUGAACAGUAUUCCAAGCCAAGAAACGAGCGAGAGAAGCGAAAAGGGCAAAGCCAGUAGCCAAGAGGCAGAAACAGAGACGGCACUUUCGUAGUACUUAACUUUCUCUGGCAAGCCUUUUCGAGUUUCGCACGAGGGAUGUUUCAUAGCGAGGGUGGAUUUACAGAAAGUAACGGCGCAAUUUCGUACGAAAAUCUACGACGCGAUUUAGACGCCUUGAAAUACAUCUCGGAAAAUGUUCAGCAGAGAUCAAUAGGGCACGUGACAAAUUUUGAGAACGUGUGCCAAAACCGAAAGUGGAGUCGUUCGAAAAGAUUCGUGGCAGAUACAUGAAAAGAGACAAAAAAAUAACGUAUAUCCUUUAGUAGAAAACUUGUACAGAUACAGCAAGUUCGACUUCGUUGAAAUGUCAAUAAACAUCUAUUAAACGUCAACAAUAGGAUAUAUAUUCUUUCUUUAUAUAAAUAAAUCCGUUCCAGCUAAAAUAAUUUUUUCUUUGAAUCGAUCCCAGCUGGCUUUGUUCGAUUCUAUUCGAACCAUAAAUCUAUAGAUUCGUAGCUUUAUAAACUCAUAAAUCUAUGAAGAUAUAGAUCAACAGCUUCACAGAUGUAUACAGAUUCAUAGAUAGAAGGAAGAGGUGAAAAAUAUUUGCUACGACAUCGCGUUUUCUCUUUCAUUCUCGAGAUAAAAUACAAUUUUUUCCAUCCAUUUAUUGAUUAAUAGAUGUUUUACCAUUCCUCGUGCAUACUCGCGGCGAUACUCGUAAAUUACCAGGCGAGAAAAAUGAAACUAUAAAUUACGAGAUAAGAAACGAGAUUGGGAAACAAGUGUUAAGAAUUGAGGGUUGGAUGUUAAGAGUUAAGGGUUGAGAGGGCUGGAGAUGAGAGUUGAAGGUUGUGAGCUUAGGCUCAAGGAUCGCGGAUUGAGAGAAGAUGGAGAUUCAGAGAUUUCGGAUCGAGGGUCGGAAAUUGGAAGUUGGCGUUUGGGAAUUAACAGAUGGCAGUUGACAGUUGAGCGGAGAGCGGAAGUAUGAUUGGAAAAGCAAAGGGAAAAAAGUUGUGACAUACUUUCCAGGAAACGUUAAUAUUGCCGUGCCAAGGCCGCUUGAUGAUUUGAAAACUCUAGAAAAGGCCUGCUGAAGACUAUUACAUCGAUAUCGAUUUUUUAACGUAUCUUACAUCUUUUUAACUUAACUCGCAUGCAACUUGACGCAAAAAAGGCGCUGCGUGCCGCACGUAUUAUUAUAGAGAAAACAUUGCCUAUGGUAAGACCUCUUUUCCACACACGUACAAGUUUCUAAUUAUCAAUUAUAUAUCUCCUAUACAUUUAUAUAAAAUUUAUACAACAAAGAAAACUGAGAUUGUCGAGGAGUAUCUACAAAUUUCUGUAGAACGUAUUCUUUUCAUCAUUCAGGAGUAUAUCAAGAGUCAGAAUUAUCUUUUAAAAUACCGUCUGAUCGUGAUAAAGAAGCAAGAUAGCGUCUCUCAUCACCAGAUAAGCCGUGUACUCGAAGCGGUGCCGGUCUCUCUCUUAAUUCAUUACACAGAAAUGAUCUAAACUUGACUCAAGAGCAACGUGUCUCCGUGGUUGAGUAAAUCUGUCGCCUAAAUUAAUGAUCUUCCAUUUAACCGUCUGUCAUCUUUAUUUCACCCAUAUACUCGAUUCCGUUUGCGUGGCGAUGAUCGUUCUACACCAAACUAAAUCCAGGCGAAUUCAUUGCGGCGAGUUCCGGCAUGCUUAAAAUGGUUCGCUCGCCCGCGUUUUGUCAAAAUUGUUGGCUGAGCAAACAAAUUCGUCUGAAUCUGCAAAAAUAUCGGUGUAUUUAUUAUUCGCGGACUGUUACAAGCUGGAAAUAUUCAUUCCAGCAAGAUACGUCCGGAAUUUGCCGUAAACAUUUUCCGCGAGAUAUACCAGUGUGUAUUUGCGAGAGUAUCCGCGAGUAUUCGCGAGGUGCUCAACGCAUCGUGAACCGCGCAGCAUAUGUUUUGCUUGGCUGAACGGAUACGCGUACGUAUAAAGCGCAUGUACGGAUACGCUUUGCAAUUUCUGUCCUUUUAAAAUUCGCGCGUGGCGCAAACUGCGCUCUCGCAACGUUCGCGCGCGACGCGAUGUGAUUUCGUUAACGAAAUCUUCGGCGACAAUAUGUCGACGCACGUGUAAACACGGCCGCACAGCCUGCAACUGGUUGCAGCAAUUGGUUGCAACAUCGCAGCUACAACGGCGGGAUGCCCCUAUUUUCUCAAGACCAGCGACGUUCAACCGCGUUUUCCUUCGCGUUCAACCCCUUUGCGCUGUAUUCGUAUUCCGCUUCCCUCUUAAUGUCCCGCUUUUGUGCUGUAAAUGAAAUCUCCGUGCUGGGGUGGAACGUUCAGCCUCGCAGGCGGAGCAUCGACUAUCUCUGUUGUGUUGUUUAAAAUGCGUCGUGCAAUAUUGGUGUCGUCAGAGCCAGAAGCUGCUGCUGCUACUGCUGCUGCUUUAUUUUGCGAGGGAGCGUGGCACAUCUUUUUUCUUCAGCCCCGAAGAAAAUUCUGCGCGAAUGAAUCAACCGUGUCUCGCGUAUCACAAACAACAGCACGUUGCACACAACAACGUGUUUUAUCCGUUCUUCUUAGCGGACUGAGUGUAACGCUCUUGCAUAAUAUGUGUUCGCGCUAAAUGUAAGAGGAAAAUAACGGCAGAACGGAGAACGGAAUAUGCAUACAACGUAUAUUCCGCUGAAAGCGCGAGCCGGUGGAAUUCUCCGCGAUACACAGGCGUACCCGUAAAAGGUAAGCGCGCGAUACGCGGCCGACGGGAUCAAUCGGGAUGUUUUAUCAAAGUAGUUUAUUCCGAGCCAAUAAUCCAAAUAAAAAUCAAGAAGGCGGAGGCGAAGCGUAUUUGCGCACGCGGAGAUCCGAAUCUUGACACUCGAUUUAUACCGUUCUCGCGGCAAGCAGCGGCAAGACAAGGCGCAGACAAUAAGGGAAGAAAAUAAAUCGUUUACCGUUGGAAACACCCGUCCUGAGCGGAUCUUCACGGUUCAAGAGUGUUGCGUCUCUAUAGUUUCGCACGCGGGCGCAAGCCCGACGUUAGUCUUUUUCUUCUUAUAAAAUAUACCACACUGUGCGCGUCUCUCUACGCUCGUACGGUUCGAUCCUUUCUGCUCCCCUUUUCCUCGAGUUUACUUUAUCGCGAGAGAUAUCAGGUUCCGCAGUACCUCGUGCAAACACAGGAGACACUUGCGCCCAGGUAUAAGCGACGACAUUUGCUCCUUUUUCAUGUCCCUCUGACACUCGUUCCGUGAAAUUUCUUACUCCCUCUGCCGCACGAAACUCCGGCCGGAGCCGUUUACGCUGCGGUCGCGUCAUCGGGUUUGCGUUCAAGAUAAUAAAUAUCCGAUUGUACGAGCGCACACGCAGCUGCGUGGAAAAUAGUGCCGACAACGUCCACGACGUGCUCAGCCAGCCACCAAGUUCGAAACUGCUAUUUUUAGCGGCAAUACCGCAACGCGAUGACUUGUGCACUUGAUCACGCGAAACCUCUGCGAUCGUUGGAGUCAUCGAAACAUAAUACUUUAUCCUCACGUAUCGUGAGAAAUUCAAACAGUACGCCGUGCAUGUGUUGCUUAAAGCGUAAAUUAAAGUCAGUGAAAACGUUAAAAUGUAGAAAUGUUUGCAGUUGAAGUUUAGAUGAUGAAAGAUAAUGAGAAAUGAUCCGAGAAAUUUUACGAAAGUUUGUAAAUCUUUUAUUGAGAAACUUUGUUUGUACGAGGCACUUGAAAAUUCUGCGGUCUUUUGGCGAAAUACUGCAGGCAUUAGAAUUAAUUAUAGCACGUGUAUAAUACAUCUAUGCUCAUACUCCGUAAGAUUGCUAUAUAAUUCAUAUGAAUCAAAGAAUUUCGUAUAACCUUUCCACCUCCUGCUGUUAAUUAUCUUGCGGAGUGAUAAACAGUUUUCGCGGCGUACAUUGCAAAAAUUGUGAACUGUAUCUCGCGCUAAAGAGAUUAAAAACUACCGGCGCAAAGUAUACAUAAUUACGGAAUAAAGUACUAGGUAAUUGCGAAGCUGCAUGUAGCACCUAUGCAGCCUCCGUGAGUGAAAAAGGGAAUUAUAUUUUCGUACCGCCGUGAUUUCAAAGGCGAUUCAGACGGGAUGAUUAAAUCAGAGUGAUACAUAUACGUACAUCGAGAAAAAGCCAAAGGUGCGAAAUUUCGCGCACUCUUGUCUGCGAAGCGUAUGCACAUUAAUUUUAUAACGUGCGAGCAAAGUCGACUUAAAGCCGUAUAGCGAACCGAUGGACGCUGCUUUGAAGAAACAUGCUUUAUCGCAAGAAUCUUUCUCUCUCUCUCUUUUCAUGAUAACGUUAUUAAAUUCUGGAUUUUAAAAACAUGAAAAAAAUAUGCGUAAACUUUUAUCGCAAGUUCUAUGCCUUAGCAUGUUGCUACAAAUUAUUUUGUUCAAAGUUGCGUGUUUUUUACAGAAAAGAAUUUUUUAGCAGUCUAUGGUAUAAAUAUACUACUUAUAAAUUAAUAACAAUUUUCUAUAUAUGCAACGCCACUUUUUCAGUGUGCUGCAUAAAAGCAAGUAUCUAAAAAAUCGAUUUUGCAUUUAUGUGUAUGAGGACAAGGUUUACAAUCUCAAUUCUAAACAAAAAUCAAAAUGACAACGAGUUUGGAGACAAUUUGCUUCAAAGUGCGGAGGAAUUUGCGCGGGAACACGCUCGAGUUUUCAUAUCCUCUGCGAGAAUAUCCUCGCGCAAACUGCAAUAGCAAGAUUAUAAACUGAGAAGUUCCAUGCUCACGUUAUAAUCCGCGAUUCGUGUUUACUCGAGCGAUACGUUGACAAAGCUAUCAUAAGUUGAUAUUUUGCAGAAGAGCUUUCAUAAGUUAUUUAAGUACCUGUUUCGUGCGACCGAUCCACGGCAGACUACAGUAAUUAAAUAAGAAAUUCCUUUCGUAGCUCCAAUUAUCAAAUGCGAUCGAUUUUGAACGCUAUUAUCAGAUCGGAAUAUGCAAAUAGCCGAUAUUUUCCAUUCUCAUGUUUCCUCCGUACCUGUGAGGCGAUUCGAGCCCGAUUCCAAUUCCGAUGCUGGCUACAAUUUGGAUUGCUAGAAAAUUUCUGUCUAUAUAUUAAUACAAUAAUGUACCAUGCACGUACGUGCUUGUAGGGAACUAUCAUGUUACAUACGUCGCUUAGUACCAACGGUAUUACAGGAAAAUUAAUGAGGAAAAAGUAAAACGGACAAAAUUAAAUAAAUGAAUCUCACACAUACACACACACACACACACAGAUUUGAACCAUAUCCUAAUUGUCACAGCAGGAAAUUACGAGGAAAUAAUUGAUGAGACACAUGGAAAACCGUAAGACUCCAACUAGUAACAUCUACCAAGUAAGAAUGAAUAGCAGAUACGCUAAUGGAUUAAGACGUUGAAGCAAUUAAAAUAAUUGAACCAACUCCAGGUAUUCUCAAAUGCAUGAGCAUUCAUAAUACAUCACAAUAGUACAUUAUAAUUACGUAACAUAGCAGACAUUAUAAUAUUCCAGCCAGUGAAUUCAACAGAUUUAGAGUGAUCCCGGCUUAUUGAGCAUCUCGAGCCCAAGAAAGCACCGAGAAGAUUUAGUCUCCACUCAUCCACUCGUAUUCCGCGAGUGCCCUCGCACAUCCCCGUCAUUAGGGGAGGCUGUUUCCGGCGGCUGAAAUGCGUAUAUUCUUUUACUCGCACGAUCCGGCCACCUCAGAUCGUCCAUGAGCGACGACUCAUGGUGUAUACACGCGCGUGUCUACCCCCGAGGAAUAUAUUCCCGGCGUUAGUGCCCUCGCAGCACACACAACGAGGGACGUGACGUUGCAACAAUCGUCGCCAUCCCCCGCAUCCCCAGCAUCGUCCGUCCUUUUCCGAAAGGGAAAAUUGCGACAUGCCCCAGCGAAAACAUGACGCGGCCUUCGCAUUCCGCCGUUCUCUUUUGCUCUGCUUUGCUCUCCAUUCUCUCCGCCUUCUACCCUUCCCUCCCCACGGAUUCUCUUCGUCCAGAGAGAAUGAAAAUCCCGAGAACGUCGCCUGUACGGCGUCAGUGUCAGCCAGCACGAGAGACAGUCGUUCGAGGCUCGGUCACUCCUUCCACCCCUUUCUCUGCCGUUCCUCUCGUCCCUCUCCUCCGUUUCCUCCCUUGUCUCCUCUGGCGGGCAUGAAUUUGUGCAAUCUGGCUCUUUAAUAGCGCGAGAGUGGUUUUUGCUUUUAUUAAAACGGUAAACGCGCGAGACACGAGAACGUAGAUUAAACGACCCACCGAGACCUCGUUAAAGAACCCCUGCGCUCGAAACAACGACAGUUUUCGGUAAAUGAUACCGGCAACGACCGAGUGGCUGCAUCGGAUCGCGUCACCGAUAUUCACCCCCUCGGGCGCAGCGCAGCGCGACGUCGGAUCGUCGGCUAAUAGCGUUUAAUGCCAAAGUUCGGUUACGGCACGAACGAACGAACGAACUUGAGCCCGGCCGACUUUGAGAUAAGUUGCACGUCGCGCCUCGCCGUGCUCGUUUGUUCUCUUGAAACACACUGGGAUCGCGUCGUUACUUUGCGCAGAAUUUUCAGCACGUCCGCUCGCGCAAUAGCUUCGCAACUUCCGAAGCCGAGCAAGCGACCAAGAGAGAAAGAGACAGGAAGAAAGAGAGGGAGAACGAGACCGAGGCUGCAAAUGGCGAGAACGAGCACGUCGCGGGAUAUCAGCCAGUGAUGGAUGCAGUCAUUCGAAACGCGGAGCAGGCAGCAACCGCGACGACGAUCCAUUCGAUCCGGUCGAUCCGUGUAAUUAAAUGCCCACCGCGCGUACCACCGCCGGUUCUCCACCGCACGAAAGUGUACCCCGCGGUUGUAGUAAUCCAUCCGCAUUUACAGGAGGAUUCGGAUGUCCCGAUGAGUGGUGUAGGCCGUUCGGACCCGCCUUGGCCGCCGAUCCGGUCGAUCAUUAAUAGGAAAAAAGCCAGGUCGCGCGUUUGGACGCAGGUACGCACAAACCACCCCCCCCCCUUCGCUGGGCCAAUUGGAUUAAAGCUGGUAGCAAUUUUCGGCGGCGAAUAAUUUCGGCCGCGUGAAUAUUUCUUUCCCGCGUGACAGGACACGGAUCGUUAAUUCUUAUUACGCCUGUCACGUAAUUUGCAUGCCGGCUGCGUUACUGGAGCCGAUGCUGCCCCGUAUCGUCGCAAAUAUGGCGAUAACUAAUUCGUCGCGACAACAUCGCCAAUCAAUAUAUCGCUGGGCAAUACGCAUCGAUGAAAUUAACACGUAUAUUGGCGCAUUUUUAUCAUCUGUACAUGUGUAUCUUAACAAAGGAGCGAAACUAAAUAUUGACGUUCAUAAGUACGCGUGAUUAAACUGACCGUAAUAAUUAUUUAUGCAAGAGAUGCGAGCAUGAAACGAGCGCAGAGGCGAUAGUUGCGGCCGUUUGUACGUUACGAGGCGGCGUUUCGGAGCCCAAUUAACGGCGCGUCGGGCUCUCGCGGAACGAAUUUCGAGAGGCGUCAAAAGGCACGUGGCUUGACUAUGCAAUCCCAUAACGUAGUUACGUAUUAACCGGAAAUAUCGCACUGAAAAUUCGAUAAGAAAAUAGUCACCUGUUUAAACAGUGACACAAAUCGUUACAGAAAUUUUCACUGGACGUAUUCGUUGGAUUGUAAACAACUGAAAAAUUAGUAUUUUGCAAUUUUUGAUAAAGAUGUGGCUAGUCUAAAAACAAAAUCCGAUAACACGAGCGAACGUUAUCUCGGAAUAUUUAUUGAUGCCAAUCCAAUGUGCAGACUCAAGUUAAUUUAUAAGAUCUGGAAGAGCACGUUUGCAUGAAACAUAAUUUAAGCUUCCACAGCGAGCAUUCGCAGUGGGACAUCCCGCAUAGAUCGAGAUUCUUAAAAUAUCGCCACAGAUUUCGCAUGUACAAGCGUGGAUAAAUAUUUAAUAGGAGAUUUAUCGCGAAUAGCGAAGAAGAAGCUGAGAGAGAGAGACGGCAAGAGUGAAGGGAAGGGACGCAGAACACAAUGGAAAAACUCUGGGCACUGGAAAAAGAACCGAGCCAAGUUUCGGUCGUAACGGAGAAAAGUACCAGGUCAUGCCAAUAUUCGCAAACGCAGUCUUUAGUGAAAUGCAAAUUCACCGGCCCGUUCGACCGAUGGCCUUCUUUGGAAAUGUACGAGGACGAAUUGCAGAUGCGGGAUUAAAUUCCUAUUAAAUGUGGAACUGAAACUUUAAUACGUUGCAGUCGGGAAAAUUGAAUUGCUAUUUCGGUAAUAGCUCUCAUAAUCCCGUGGGAAGUACGAGUUAAUAAACUCAGUAAUUACAGACAUUAUACGAUAUCACCAUUUUUAAUCUAAUAAUUAAUUUCUGAUAAAUAACUUUUUCACCAGCUGUGUUAUAUAAAUUAUAUAUUAUUCCAAAGUUCAUUUACGUUUUUAUGAGUCGUCGCCGUUUAAUUAUUUGUUAUUUAGCCAUAUGUCGCUGAUGACUUUCUUAAUUAUAGAAAUAUUUUUCUCGUACAUAUAUAGAAUACUUAAUUUUUAUUAAUAAGCAUCAUUUUAAACUACAAGUCAAUCAGCAUUACCCAUUUCUAUCCGGAUUUCAUAACAUUAGCUUAUUGAAAUUUUCCAAAAUAUCACCGAGGUAUUUAUCGUCAUGACGACUAACGACUAACGAACAUCAAUCCGUUCAAUUACAUUUGUUUGUUAUAGAUAAUUAUAUAUCGACGCUUAUAGAUCAAAUGUCAACAUUACGAGAGAUGAUGUAUCUUUAGAAACAGCAAUAAAAUAAUACAGGUAAAUAAUACAGGUAAAUAAAAUAUAAAGUAUUCGUAAAAGAUUCGUAUGAUCGGAAAAAUCCGUAUAUAUGACACGACGUUGCUACGUGUCACGGUGCACGAUUUUCAGAAGAAGCACCGUUUGCUCCCAUUACGUGGUCUAUGGAUAUCUUUCCGGAAUGACGUGAUAACGGGCGCUGGACCAUCGCGAGCCGUACAGCUUCGCCGAUCGAAGAUCCUCAUUCCACUCUUUACUCGUCGUCAACACGUAUGGGGUAACCUUGCCUGGUAACCGGGAAUCGUCCAUUGGUUCGUCCCAAUGGACGCCAAACGAAAAUGGUAGAGGCCAUCAGUGAGGCGAAUUUAAUCGAAAAGGAUGUGCAAAGCUACCGAUUUCAGAUAAUCGCGUGUCAUCAUAAGCUGGAAUUCAGGUCUCCAAAAUUAGCUACUUUAUAAUAUUUUAUCUUCCAAAUUAAUGACAGACGCAAAAAUAAAUUGCAACGUAACGAUUUUUCUUUUAACAAAAAUAAAAUAAAAUUUGUUCUGUAUUUAUCGAAAGAUACAUUUCACACAAAAAAACAAUCGCUUUUAAUCUAGAAUGGACACGAAAUACAGUUGUCACAAUUUCGUCCAAACUUGAACAUGCUUAUAAUAAUAUACGUUUUCCUGUUACCUUUUAUAUAUAUAUAUAUAAUUCAGAAAGUUUCAUAUAAAUUCACAAACAUCGCACCGUUAUGAAUGGGGAAUCGAUGCACACGUGGAAAUUGCAUGCAGUGAACGCUCGCGACGCAUUGCGCUGUCAAGUUUCGUUUUAACAAGUUACGAUAUCGCGAUCCAGUGGCAUCGUCUGGAUUUGCCUAAAAGCAUCGGCGAGUUAGUAUCCGGGCGCUUCCGGUGCACUCACGGUCCACGCAAUAUCCUCAUAGUUCGCAUCGCGAGAUCCUCGGCAUACGGACGGCACACUUCGGUCAACUAUUCCCGGUACGAGAAUCUCCUUCGCCUAGUGACGCAUAGCCGAAAUCUGAUAGUUAUCCCCGUGGAAUGAAUAUGCGAUACGCGCGCGAUGCCCAUAGUGACGCGUACACGGCGUGCCCGGCAAGUAAAUGCCGAAUACCACCAAGUGCCUUCAUCCAGUAAUGCUGACACACGCGAAUACCAAAUGGCUAAUACGCGUUUUGACUGGAUCGCCAAAUCCGGCUAAUUAGAGUCGCACAGUCAUGACGAUCCUAAUCGCGCUUAGAGACAGAUCAAACCAUUGCUUGACGCGGUCAGGAAUUAGACUGGAAUUCAUACGGCGUAUAACUGCUGUGCUAUCGGCACGGGAUCGCAGUUCUCAGUUGUCGAGAAGUUUCGGUAAUUGUUCUUAAAUGCUCGCUCUUAAAGAGCGAUCGAUACAGAGAGACUCUGGCGACGACUGUUUCGAUUUGAUGAUUAUCGCAUCGGUAUUGUUGUGUAUAGAUUAUUGUACGUAGAUGUUUCAAGCAAAUCAACAAAAUCGAAACGGAAGUCUUGCGCUUAUUUGUUCCUGUCGUAACUUCAUUCGUUUAUAAGAUGGAAUUAUCCGUAAUUUCUUAAUUUAGAUUAAUCAAUGCAUCUAUUUUUAGCGCGUUCGGGUUCGAAUGGAACAGGCUGUGUUUUAAACAAAUUGCAUUUCUGUAUAUUCGCAAGUGAUAGGAUGUUACUAAAUAAAACCAGACAGAUAUUUAAAAAUGCAAUCGAUACCCGCGAUACAUGCGCACAUUAAUACAUUUCAGGUACAGGAAUAUAGUAAAAAAUAAACCCGAAUUGAACAACGGGGUCAAUAGCGAGUUUGUUUGAUAAACGUCGGACGAGAAGUCAACAAAUUUUUGAUCCGUUUAAUAAUGGAACGUGACAAUUACAAGAGCUCUAUUUCCGAGUUGACAACGCGCGCGCGGAUACGUACUUGAAUAAAAAUUUGAAAACCGGCAGCUCCCACCGCCGAAAGCGUCGAGAGUACAAUUGCGAUUCGCGUCGGACUGCCUGCCAACAAAAAAAUAUGCGUAGCCGCAAUGCGUCGAAUAAUGGCGAGAGAAAAGGACGGGAAGUGUAACAAAAAAUGAAGUGGAGCGAAUGUCAUACUCGGCGAAUCGCCGCGAACCCUUCCUCACACGAAUGCAUUUCGAGCAUAACGCGUGUGUUAUGCGUUCGAAUAAAUUUGAAUGCGAAUGAGAUCACGAUAAAAAAGGAAAGAGAGAGAGAAAGACACAGACAGACAGAGACCGGGGUGUACCGUCGAGCGAGAACAAAAGGAGAGAUAUAGCGCGGGUGAUGGUGAUGAUGGGCCGCCGACACGCGGCAGUCUCGGAGAAGAAAUUGAAAUAGGUCGGUAUUCUCCAGACAAGGAUCGUGCGAUUGGAAGCUGCCAAUUAAUCGAUCACCGUUAGUCUAACCCAUACUCCUCUUUAUCACCUGGAUCCUAUCUUUUAAUUGGGAGGACAGCGCGCUGGCCGGCUGGUCGACCGGCCGAGCGGAUUAGCCGGUUCUCUUGACUUUGAAAGAUCAAUAAAAGCUGUAGCUACGUGCUACGGUCCAAAACGUGUUUCCGCCGACAUCCGCGGACCUUAUCGUCACCGUUCCCGCACUUCACCGUAUCUCGCCGGAAAAUGGUAUCCGCAGUGUGCGUCAAUAUUUUUCUAUGCCGCCGUUGCAGCCGGAAUCACCCCGGAAUGGAUUGUCCGCUUAUCCGCUUCCUCGAUCUGCUAAUCCUGUCUCCAUGGGUGCCGAAUCUGCGCUAUCCCCUCGCGGAGAUCUAAACGGAGAUCUAAUCAGUCGUUACGAGAGGAUACGUUCUACAACCGUAGCGUUUUCCUCCUCUUGAUUUAGAGAAUUCUUUUUCUUGAGAGAAUUGUGGCGCUCUUUUGCACGAGCUGAAAAA
rnacentral:lncRNA from 1 species